rnacentral:rRNA from 1 species
AGUGAACGCUGGCGGUAGGCCUAACACAUGCAAGUCGAACGGCAGCACAGUAAGAGCUUGCUCUUACGGGUGGCGAGUGGCGGACGGGUGAGGAAUACAUCGGAAUCUACUUUUUCGUGGGGGAUAACGUAGGGAAACUUACGCUAAUACCGCAUACGACCUACGGGUGGAAGCAGGGGAUCUUCGGACCUUGCGCGAUUGAAUGAGCCGAUGUCGGAUUAGCUAGUUGGCGGGGUAAAGGCCCACCAAGGCGACGAUCCGUAGCUGGUCUGAGAGGAUGAUCAGCCACACUGGAACUGAGACACGGUCCAGACUCCUACGGGAGGCAGCAGUGGGGAAUAUUGGACAAUGGGCGCAAGCCUGAUCCAGCCAUACCGCGUGAGUGAAGAAGGCCUUCGGGUUGUAAAGCCCUUUUGUUGGGAAAGAAAAGCAGCAGGUUAAUACCCCGCUGUUCUGACGGUACCCAAAGAAUAAGCACCGGCUAACUUCGUG